rnacentral:rRNA from 1 species
CCUACGGGAGGCUGCAGUAAGGAAUCUUGGUCAAUGGCCGAAAGGCUGAACCAGCCAUGCCGCGUGAGUGAAGAAGGCCUUCGGGUUGUAAAGUUCUGUUAUAAGGGAAGAAAGGUGAUAGUAGGAACUGCCUAUCAAUUGACGGUACCUUAUGAUAAAGCCACGGCUAACUACGUGCCAGCAGCCGCGGUAAUACGUAGGUGGCAAGCGUUAUCCGGAAUUAUUGGGCGUAAAGAGCGCGCAGGUGGUUAAAUAAGUCUGAUGUGAAAGCCCACGGCUUAACCGUUGAGGGUCAUUGGAAACUGGUGGACUUGAGUGCAGAAGAGGGAAGUGGAAGUCCAUGUGUAGCGGUGAAAUGCGUAGAGAUAUGGAGGAACACCAGUGGCGAAGGCGGCUUCCUGGUCUGCAACUGACACUGAGGCGCGAAAGCGUGGGGAGCAAACAGGAUUAGAUACCCGAGUAGUC